rfam:Solanum tuberosum cultivar DM 1-3 516 R44 scf00026_95, whole genome shotgun sequence.
GUUGCUUCUUAUGGUGAACUCUCUUUAAAAGUGAGCAAUGUUCAUGUUUCUGAAGCAUAAAUAAACUGUCAGUAUUAAACAGCAUGGUGCACUUUCAAUUGCAUCUUGCUACCUGUCUCCUGCUACAUUC